rnacentral:rRNA from 1 species
ACUGAAUAGAUACCCUGGUAGUCCCAGCUGUAAACGAUGCAGACUAGGUGUUUGGACGGCCGACGUGCCGUUCUAGUGCCGCAGGGAAGCUGUUAAGUCUGCCGCCUGGGGAGUACGAUCGCAAGAUUGAAACUUAAAGGAAUUGGCGGGGAGCACCACAAGGGUGAAAGCUUGCGGUUUAAUUGGAGUCAACGCCGGAAAUCUCACCGGGAGCGACAGCAGUAUGAAAGCCAGAUUGAAGGUCUUGCUAGACGAGCUGAGAGGAGGUGCAUGGCCGUCGCCAGUUCGUGCCGUGAGGUGUCCUGUUAAGUCAGGCAACGAUCGAGACCCGCGUCCUCUGUUGCAACCAGCUUUGAGCUGGGCACACUGAGGAGACCGCCACUGGUAAAGUGGAGGAAGGAGCGGGCCACGGCAGGUCAGUAUGCCCCGAAUCUCCCGGGCCACACGCGAGCUGCAAUGGCAAGUACAAUGGGUUCCGACCUC